rnacentral:rRNA from 1 species
UAGAGUUGAUCCUGGCUCAGGACGAACGCUGGCGGCGUGCUUAACACAGCAAGUCGAGCGGAAAGGCCCUUCGGGGUACUCGAGCGGCGAACGGGUGAGUAACACGUGAGUAAUUGCCCUGCGCUCUGGGAUAGCCACCGGAAACGGUGAUUAAUACCGGAUAGGACCACUUCACGCAUGUGAUGGUGGUGGAAAGUUUUUUCGGCGCAGGAUGUGCUCGCGGCCUAUCAGCUUGUUGGUGAGGUAAUGGCUCACCAAGGCUUUGACGGGUAGCCGGCCUGAGAGGGUGACCGGUCACACUGGGACUGAGACACGGCCCAGACUCCUACGGGAGGCAGCAGUGGGGAAUAUUGGACAAUGGGAAGCCUGAUCCAGCAACGCCGCGUGAGGGAUGACGGCCUUCGGGUUGUAAACCUCUUUCAGUAGGGACGAAGCGCAAGUGACGGUACCUACAGAAGAAGGACCGGCCAAUACGUGCCAGCAGCCGCGGUAAUACGUAGGGUCCGAGCGUUGUCCGGAAUUAUUGGGCGUAAAGGGCUCGUAGGCGGUUUGUCGCGUCGGGAGUGAAAACACUGGGCUUAACUCAGUGCUUGCUUUCGAUACGGGCAGACUAGAGGUAUGCAGGGGAGAAUGGAAUCCUGGUGUAGCGGUGAAAUGCGCAGAUAUCAGGAGGAACACCGGGAAGGCGUUUGGGCAUUACGAGA